CCAUCCCUUAAUAGGUCUCAUAACUGCAGGGCUGAGCAUUAAUUACUCAUGUCCUCCUGAAAGGUCUAUAGCCACAUGAAUGCUUACAUCAUUUAUGUGUUUUCAGUGGACUCUAAUCAUUGCCUGAUGUCCCCAGUGAAAAGGUGCUGUCAUAAAGCCCAAGACCCUUGACCACUGGGCUACCGCCAUCUCCAUGUUUCAGCACUUAAACAAGCUCUCACUGGCUCAAGAGACAGUGUUACUGUGACUCAGUGGAAAAAGCGGUGACAUAUGAAACUGAUGUAAGGGCCGUGGAGGGGGAAACCCCUUCAAGCGCCCCCCAGACACCUUUGGAGGGGUGUCCUCCAUUAUCUGAUGUGAAGGGAAUCCCUAACCUCUACACAGCUUGACGU